rnacentral:rRNA from 1 species
GCUUCGGCACUUGAUGAUGGGUGUGCGGCUGAUUAGAUAGUUGGCGGGGUAACGGCCCACCAAGUCUACGAUCAGUAGCUGAUGUGAGAGCAUGAUCAGCCACACGGGCACUGAGACACGGGCCCGACUCCUACGGGAGGCAGCAGUAAGGAAUAUUGGACAAUGGACGAAAGUCUGAUCCAGCCAUGCCGCGUGAAGGAUUAAGGUCCUCUGGAUUGUAAACUUCUUUUAUAUGGGACGAAAAAGGGCAUUCUUGUUCACUUGACGGUACCAUAUGAAUAAGCACCGGCUAACUCCGUG